UAUCUUCUGUGGUGCUCGUUAUCAUUCUCGUGGUAACUUGAGCCGAUAAGAUAUAAAAUAGGGAGUCUGAAAGCAGCGUUGUUGUGAGAUCCAUUUACUUGGAAAUCCUGAUAUGCUACCGAGAACACCCACUUGAACCUCUGGUUCAAGUUCAACGGCUGAAACGACAUUAUGGUUGAUAC
rnacentral:other from 1 species